UACAGAGGUCCCAAGCGUUGUUCGGAUUCACUGGGCGUAAAGGGUGCGUAGGUGGCGGGGUAAGUUUGAUGUGAAAUCUCUGAGCUUAACUCGGAAACUGCAUUGAAUACUAUCUUGCUGGAGGGUUGGAAGGGGGACUGGAAUUCUUGGUGUAGCAGUGAAAUGCGUAGAUAUCAAGAGGAACACCAGUGGCGAAGGCGAGUCCCUGGACAACACCUGACACUGAGGCACGAAAGCUAGGGGAGCAAACAGG
rnacentral:rRNA from 1 species